GAUCUAAAGUCACGCUGACCAAGGAACCUUGUGACAAAGAUGAUAUACAGAAUGAGAAGAAACUGCCUAUGGAUCUCGCUUUGAGGUCAUGUCCCAACUAGCCUGCUGUAAGAUGUCAGCUACACCACUCAAUGGGGGAUACGUGUCCUAAAGUUGCAAGUUUACUCUGCUUGUGAUUUCUGUAUUGGAAUCCUAAAGAGAAG
rnacentral:lncRNA from 1 species